rnacentral:rRNA from 1 species
AUUGAACGCUGGCGGCAUGCCUAACACAUGCAAGUCGAACGGGGCAGCAAUGCCUAGUGGCGGACGGGUGAGGAAUACGUAGGAAUCUGCCCUUAAGUGGGGGAUAACCAGGGGAAACCCUGACUAAUACCGCAUGAUCUCUUCGGAGCAAAGAGGGGGACCGCAAGGCCUCUCGCUUCUGGAUGAGCCUACGUCUGAUUAGCUAGUUGGUAGGGUAACGGCCUACCAAGGCGACGAUCAGUAACUGGUCUGAGAGGAUGAUCAGUCACACCGGAACUGAGACACGGUCCGGACUCCUACGGGAGGCAGCGGUGGGGAAUAUUGGACAAUGGGCGCAAGCCUGAUCCAGCAAUGCCGCGUGUGUGAAGAAGGCCUUCGGGUUGUAAAGCCCUUUUGUUGGGAAAGAAAUCCUAUCGGUUAAUAACCGGUGGGGAUGACGGUACCCAAAGAAUAAGCACCGGCUAACUUCGUGCCAGCCGCCGCAGUAAUAC